rnacentral:rRNA from 1 species
UACGGAGGGUGCGAGCGUUGUCCGGAAUCACUGGGCGUAAAGGGCGCGUAGGCGGCGCGAGUAGUCAACGGUGAAAGCCCGGGGCUCAACCCCGGGUCGGCCGUCGAUACUCUCGUGCUUGAGCACUGUAGAGGCAGGUGGAAUUCCGGGUGUAGCGGUGGAAUGCGUAGAGAUCCGGAAGAACACCGGUGGCGAAGGCGGCCUGCUGGACAGUAGCUGACGCUGAGGCGCGACAGCGUGGGGAGCAAACAGG